CAGAGUUCAUGCCCAUUUGGGUAGAUCUCCCACCCUUGAAAUUCGUACCUUUGUUGCUUUGGCAGGCCGCGGCCUCCGCCACCGGCCCCGGCUGGUGUGUGCCUGCCAGAGGACCCAACUCAUGUUAUUAGUGAUGUCUGAGUACUAUAUAAUAGUUA
rnacentral:misc_RNA from 1 species